rnacentral:rRNA from 1 species
UACGUAGGUGGCAAGCGUUGUCCGGAUUUACUGGGCGUAAAGGGAGCGUAGGCCGCCUGGUAAGCGUGUUGUGAAAAAUACCGGCUCAACCGGUAUCCUGCAGCGCGAACUGCCUGGCUUGAGUGUGCGCAACGUUGGCGGAAUUCGUCGUGUAGCGGUGAAAUGCUUAGAUAUGACGAAGAACUCCGAUUGCGAAGGCAGCUGACGGGAGCACAACUGACGCUGAAGCUCGAAAGUGCGGGUAUCGAACAGGAUUAGAUACCCUGGUAGUCCGCACGGUAAACGAUGGAUGCCCGCUGUUUGUCCUGAUGGACAAGCGGCCAAGCGAAAGCGUUAAGCAUCCCACCUGGGGAGUACGCCGGCAACGGUGAA